GGUCGACUGGUGUAGUGGUUAUCACGUUUGUCUUACAUUAACAAUCUCUUGUAUUGUAAGGAGCACAAAAGGUCGCAGGUUCGAUCCCUGCGUCGAUCA